rnacentral:tRNA from 1 species
GGCAGUGUAGCUUAGCAGUGGAGCGCUUGACUAGCAUACAUGAGGUUCUGGGUUCAAUCCCUAGUAUAGCAG